GGAGUUAGCCGGUGCUUCUUCUGUGAGUGAUGUCCUUCCUGCCGGCUAUUAACCCGCAGGCCUUCUUCCUCACUGAAAGUGCUUUACAACCCGAAGGCCUUCUUCACACACGCGGCAUGGCUGGAUCAGGGUUGCCCCCAUUGUCCAAUAUUCCCCACUGCUGCCUCCCGUAGGAGUCUGGGCCGUGUCUCAGUCCCAGUGUGGCUGAUCAUCCUCUCAGACCAGCUACGGAUCGUCGCCUUGGUGAGCCGUUACCUCACCAACCAGCUAAUCCGACAUAGGCUCAUCCGAUAGCGCGAGGCCCGAAGGUCCCCCGCUUUCCCCCGUAGGGCGUAUGCGGUAUUAGCCUGGGUUUCCCCAGGUUAUCCCCCACUACCGGGCAGAUUCCUAUGCAUUACUCACCCGUCCGCCGCUCGCCACCAGGGAGCAAGCUCCCCGUGCUGCCGCUCGACUUGCAUGUGUAGCUGCCGCCAGCGUCAUCUGAGCAGAAUACAACUACUGA
rnacentral:rRNA from 1 species